CGUGAAACUGUUCAGGGGUAAACCUGAGAAACCCAAAAGAUCGAAUGGGGAGAUUCAACGUAGACCGUGUCGAUUGCUGUGUGAUGCGCGAUAUUCUUUGCCUCGGUAUCGAGUACGCCAUUGCUGCGGUAUCAUUGGCAUGGUAAGCGUGCACUUCUCCCCUAGUAGGACGUCGCGACCCGUUGGGUGUCGGUCUACGGCCCGUUUGGUUGCCUGUCGCUUGGGCGUUUAUAGCGCUUUUCGCGGCAGACCUUCGGUUGCCCGGCCGACUGCCCGGCGGUAUUGAUAAAAAUCACGAAGGUAUAUGGCCGCAUUCAUGUGCGUCCUGGCUCGUCGGCAGGCUUGCCUCGCUCGGUAAUACGGACCUAGUGCCGUUGCCGGGUGCUUGGUUGGGCUGUUAGUCGACGAUGUCCUCGGACUGGCUUUAUUGUACCGGUCGGCGACGCUACUGCUUUGGGUACUUUCAGGACCCGUCUUGAAACACGGACCAAGGAGUCUAACAUGUACGCGAGUCAUUGGGACUUGACAAAGCCUAAAGGCGUAAUGAAAGUGAAGAUCUUCCUUAGCGUUGAUCGAGGGAGGAUGGUCGGCUCUUUGGAGCCGGCUCGCACUCCCGGGGCGUCUCGUGCUCAUUACGAGCAGAGGCGCACCUAGAGCGU
rnacentral:rRNA from 1 species